GAAGUGCAUUUCAUUUAGAGACACACAGAGAGAGGGCAAGAAAGAAUCCAGACUGCACCGCCGGCCUGGUCUGCUAAUCUCGCCAACCCUCAAAAGGGAGGCGUUUUGAAUCCUGCUUUCUUAAAUUCUCCCUUCGCUUGUGACUGAGGAGCCCUGGACUUUGGAGAAAUUCUUUGCUCUUAAUCCUUAGGCCUUGAGGAGCAAAGUACUCUUGGUUUUCAGUAUCCCAGAGUGGCUAAAAACCAGCACCUAGAAGGACAAUUAAAAGAGGACAUAAAACAGGCAACAAAUCUCCACACUGAUUAGUCAACAGUGGAAAAUCUGAAGAGAUGCAAGUAGGAAAAAGAAACUAAACCAGGCCUGAGGAGCGAUGCGACAGGCGUGAUGGAGGUUGAGUCCUCCUACUCGGACUUCAUUUCCUGUGAGAGGACGGGCCGUCGGAACGCGGUCCCGGACAUCCAGGGGGGCUCUGAGGCUGUGAGCGUGAGGACGCUGGCUGGAGACAUGGGCGAGCUGACACUCGAGGGCACAGAAGGACAGACAGAGGUGGGCACCCCAGAUAAGGAAGCUAGCAACCAGCCUGAGAGCAGCGAUGGGACCACCUCGUCUUGAGUCUGACCUUGCCCAUGGAGGAUGGAAAAGAGACCUGCCAUCCUCGCCUGGACAGGGAGCCCUGGCACUGGCCUCGCAGCCUCUUCUCUGAGCCCCCGUCCCAGACAAGCCAGGCCCGAGUGAAAAGGCACCCCCAGAGGCCACCGUGGCCCCUACCCUGUAAAAGCCCUCCACCUGCACCCUCAGGCUGCACUUGCCCACCACCUCUUCACUGUGCCCAGGUACACUUUCAAGACCCUGUAGCUGUGGGGCAUUAUUUAUUCAGCGGGCACCUGAGUGAGCAGCCCCCGCAAGAAUGCCCCUCCACAGGUGGCCUGGGCAGCAACCACAGCCCAGCUCUGCACCCCCCUUCUCCAAGCCCAACCUUCUGGGUCAAGAUCUUCAUAUCCCUUUUUUUAAAAACACUUUUAAACUUUUUAAAAACUUUUUUUCAGCAGAGAGGGAGGGAGCUGUGUUUUUGUUUUUUGGUUUUUUGGGUCUUUUUUGGAAGGCAUUAUAAGUUAAAUUGACCAUCUGUGCAGCUCUGCGUCCCCUCAUGGAGCUCCACAGAUCCAUUUCUAGGGAAGGGGUUUUAUGCUCAAAACUGUCUGAUCAACUCUUUGCCCUUUCUACCAAGAUAAGUGACACCUAGGACCCAGGAAAUAAAUGCUGAUGAUUUGUGUGA